UACGUAGGCAGCGAGCGUUGUUCGGAAUUACUGGGCGUAAAGAGUGUGUAGGCGGUGUUCCCAGUCUGUUGUGAAAUCUCCCGGCUUAACUGGGAGGGUGCAGCGGAAACUAGAAUGCUAGAGGGUGGGAGAGGUAAGCGGAAUUCCUGGUGUAGCGGUGAAAUGCGUGGAUAUCAGGAGGAACACCUGUGGUGUAGACAGCUUACUGGACCACUUCUGACGCUGAGACACGAAAGCGUGGGUAGCAAACAGG
rnacentral:rRNA from 1 species